AAACUAAAUGGCUAAAGACUUCGGCUUUAUAUAUGGCCCUUCUUUUGAUGUGCAGACAAUUAAAGUGAUGGUAGUAUAUCCCGUAAACCUCUCCUAAAUCCUCACCUCCUCACCAAACCUCCCUUCGGCUUUCCCCACUAGAACCUUCCUCCUCUUCUCCUCUACCACCCCCUUUAUAUAUACCUCUCUUUUCUUCCUCUCAUUUUAUACAAACAAAAAUCAUCCACUUUAGUUCUCUCUUUCUCUCUCUGUGUACAUAAAAGAUAAGGUAUCGAAAUAGUGUUUCAGCUGUAUAUCAAUUUAUCAGAUAGUCAGAAUACUCUGUUUCUGAACCUCAGUCUUGCUCUGUUUCCCCAAAUGGCUUCUUCCUCUGUUUUCUUCACUCUUUUCACUUUCUUCUCACUCUUCCUUCUCUCCUCCUACGCAGAAACGUUAGUUUUCCCUUUAACACAUUCUUUCUCAAAAACCCAAUACAACAGUACUCACCAUCUCCUCAAAUCCACCUCCGCUCGCUCCGCCACUCGCCUCCACCACCACCGUCAAGUUUCCCUCCCUCUCACUCCGGGAAGUGAUUACACACUCUCCUUUUCUCUUGGCUCUCAAACUAUUUCCCUCUACAUGGAUACUGGCAGCGACGUCGUUUGGCUCCCUUGUCACCCUUUUGAUUGUAUCCUCUGUGAAGGCAAGUAUAACCCUUCCAUUAUUCCUAACCCUGGCCCACUCAACCUCACCUCUGCUGUCCCCGUCACGUGCAAGUCACGCUCCUGCUCCGCCGUUCACUCUUCUAUGUCUUCCUCUAACCUCUGCGCUAUGGCGAAAUGCCCGCUCGAAGACAUUGAAAUUUCCGAUUGUAAAUCUUACACGUGUCCACCUUUUUACUAUGCUUAUGGCGACGGCAGUUUUAUAGCGAAAUUAUAUAGCGAUAAAUUAUCAAUACCCACGUCAUCGCCGUCGUCGCUAAUUUUGCAUAAUUUUACGUUCGGCUGUGCUCACAGUGCACUUGGUGAACCUAUUGGAGUAGCCGGUUUUGGCCGUGGGAAACUUUCUUUGCCGGCUCAACUCGCUAUCAACUCACCCGAAAUCGGAAAUUUUUUCUCUUAUUGUUUAGUUUCUCAUUCUUUUGAUACUACAAAAGUUCAUAAACCGAGUCCGCUUAUCCUCGGUCGUUACUCAGUUGAUGAAAAAAUGAAGCAAAUGAAAGAUUACGAAAUUGGUUAUGCUUAUACUCCUAUGCUCGAAAAUCCAAAACACCCGUAUUUUUACUGCGUCGGACUUGAAGCAGUGACUAUCGGAAAAAUGAAGAUUCCGGAAUGACUUUUACUAUGUUGCCGCAUGUGUUUUAUGAAACAGUGGUAACUGAAUUUGAUAAACAAGUUGGACCGGUUUAUAAGAGAGUGUACCCGGUUGAGGAACGGACCGGACUUAGCCCGUGUUACUAUUUGGAUAAGGGUUCUUCAAAUGUGCCGCAGCUGCUUUUACAUUUUGGGGGAAAUUCCAGUGUGGUGAUGCCUAAGAGGAAUUACUUUUAUGAAUUUUUGGACGGUGGAGAUGAUGGGAAGUUGAAAAGGAAAGUGGGGUGUGUGAUGCUGAUGAACGGUGGUGUUGAAGAGGAAAGUGGGCCCGCUGGGUUAUUAGGAAAUUAUCAGCAACAAGGGUUUGAAGUUGUUUAUGAUUUGGAAAAGAAGAGAGUUGGAUUUGCCAGGAGGAAGUGCGCAUCUUUGUGGGAUAAUUUGAAUCAGCACUAACGUGCACCUUUGCGUAGCUGAUCAGAUUUGACGUUGACACUUGACAUUGACAUUAUGGUGAAGUCAAAUUGGGUCGGACUAAUUGAUAAAGUGAAAUGGGUCGGGUAAGGAUCCAAGGAUAUUUUGAGAAUAAGAAGUGGAAUGUGGUUGAUAUUUUUUUUUUUGGUCAUUGUAUAGCUGGAGUUUUUGGUACAUAUUAGACAAAAAUAAUUUGAAAUAUAAUAGAAGGGAGAAAUGAAGCAAAAUGAAUAAAAUGUGGAUGUAAAUUUGUGGCAUUGGAUUUGUUAAUUUUUUGUUUUGUGGAUUAUGUAAACGGGUGCUGAAUGUAAUUAUUUUUGAAGA